UGCUGGUCUAGGUUCAGUAUGGAAGAAGAGAAGUGGUGGUCUCGGUUCAGUAUGGAAGAAGAGAGGUGGUGGUCUCGGUUCAGUAUGGAAGAAGAGAGGUGCUGGUCUAGGUUCAGUAUGGUAGAUCAGAGAGGUGGUGGUCUCGGUUCAGUAUGGUAGAAGAGAGGUGGUGGUCUCGGUUCAGUAUGGAAGAAGAGAGGUGGUGGUCUCGGUUCAGUAUGGUAGAUCAGAGAGGUGGUGGUCUAGGUUCAGUAUGGUAGAUCAGAGAGGUGGUGGUCUCGGUUCAGUAUGGUAGAAGAGAGGUGGUGGUCUCGGUUCAGUAUGGAAGAAGAGAGGUGGUGGUCUCGGUUCAGUAUGGUAGAUCAGAGAGGUGCUGGUCUAGGUUCAGUAUGGUAGAUCAGAGAGGUGGUGGUCUCGGUUCAGUAUGGAAGAAGAGAGGUGGUGGUCUCGGUUCAGUAUGGAAGAAGAGAGGUGCUGGUCUAGGUUCAGUAUGGUAGAUCAGAGAGGUGGUGGUCUCGGUUCAGUAUGGUAGAAGAGAGGUGCUGGUCUAGGUUCAGUAUGGUAGAAGAGAGGUGCUGGUCUAGGUUCAGUAUGGUAGAUCAGAGAGGUGGUGGUCUAGGUUCAGUAUGGUAGAAGAGAGGUGGUGGUCUCGGUUCAGUAUGGAAGAAGAGAGGUGGUGGUCUCGGUUCAGUAUGGAAGAAGAGAGGUGGUGGUCUCGGUUCAGUAUGGAAGAAGAGAGGUGCUGGUCUAGGUUCAGUAUGGUAGAUCAGAGAGGUGGUGGUCUCGGUUCAGUAUGGUAGAAGAGAGGUGCUGGUCUAGGUUCAGUAUGGUAGAAGAGAGGUGCUGGUCUAGGUUCAGUAUGGUAGAUCAGAGAGGUGGUGGUCUAGGUUCAGUAUGGUAGAAGAGAGGUGCUGGUCUAGGUUCAGUAUGGUAGAUCAGAGAGGUGGUGGUCUCGGUUCAGUAUGGUAGAUCAGAGAGGUGCUGGUCUAGGUUCAGUAUGGUAGAUCAGAGAGGUGGUGGUCUCGGUUCAGUAUGGUAGAUCAGAGAGGUGGUGGUCUCGGUUCAGUAUGGUAGAAGAGAGGUGGUGGUCUCGGUUCAGUAUGGAAGAAGAGAGGUGCUGGUCUAGAGAUUAAUUACAAUUAAAGUUGUCCGUGAUGUGAUUUGAAUACCCAACCUUUGGGUUGCUCGACGUUUUGGGUUGCUAGACGUUUUGGGUUGCUCGACAUUUUGGGUUGCUAGACGUUUUGGGUUGCUCGACAUUUUGGGUUGCUCGACGUUUUGGGUUGCUCGACGUUUUGGGUUGCUAGACGUUUUGGGUUGCUAGACGUUCACGUUAUGCUGCUGCCCAUCUUCAUCGACCAACCUCAGUCCUUUUAGUUUUUUGGGGGCUUAAGUAACCUUUUCUAUCUUAUGAAACCAUAAGAAACAUAACAUAUCACCAGCCCGGCCUCAAAAACUACAUGUCCCUGCUGUAUCCCUGCAUGCCAGCCCGGCCUCCAAAACGAAACGUCCCUGCUGCUUCCCUACAUGCCAGCUAAAAAACAUCUAGCAACCCAAAACGUCUAGCAACCCAAAAUUGUCAUUAUGGGGCAUUGUCACUAUGGGGUAUUGUCAUUAUGGGGUAUUGUCAUUAUGGGGUAUUGUCACUAUGGGGUAUUGUCAUUAUGGGGUAUUGUCAUUAUGGGGUAUUGUCACUAUGGGGUAUUGUCACUAUGGGGUAUUGUCACUAUGGGGUAUUGUCAUUAUGGGGUAUUGUCAUUAUGGGGUAUUGUCACUAUGGGGUAUUGUCACUAUGGGGUAUUGUCACUAUGGGGUAUUGUCACUAUGGGGUAUUGUCAUUAUGGGGCAUUGUCAUUAUGGGGUAUUGUCAUUAUGGGGCAUUGUCAUUAUGGGGUAUUGUCACUAUGGGGUAUUGUCACUAUGGGGUAUUGUCACUAUGGGGCAUUGUCAUUAUGGGGUAUUGUCAUUGUGGGGCAUUGUCAUUAUGGGGCAUUGUCAUUAUGGGGUAUUGUCAUUAUGGGGUAUUGUCACUAUGGGGUAUUGUCAUUAUGGGGUAUUGUCACUAUGGGGUAUUGUCACUAUGAGGUAUUGUCACUAUGGGGUAUUGUCACUAUGGGGUAUUGUCAUUAUGGGGUAUUGUCAUUAUGGGGUAUUGUCACUAUGGGG